AUCCAUAUUCUAUUCCUUAAUAUGAUAUCUAGGAAAGGGAUUCUGGACCUCUGGUAUUCUGUAGGAAUUAGUUUUUUGUUUAAUUUCUUCAAAACCUGAGUUGUGCAUUCUAUCUUAGAGAUCAUUGACUUCAAGGUUUCAUAUAUAGACUAAUGUUAAUGACUCACUCUGAUUCUCAAUCCCCAAGCCACACGAGUCUUUUUUUUUUUUUUUCCUCCUAACCCUAACCCUCCCCGCUCUCCCCCUCAAUCGAAAGCCAUCAAUUGCCGCUCUCCCUCUCAAUUGAAAGCCAAAAACCCUAAAUAAGGAAUAGAAACAGAAAGCUAGUUAUGAAUGAAGAACGAGUGAUCCUCUUCUGCGGGCAUAUGUGUGAUGAACCUUUCGUCUACUCAAAAGAUGAUGAUUAUGGCAAGACUAUGAUGUCUUGGUUUACUAUGUUGGCUCCAGAGAUCCGUGCUGGACCAUCAUCUUCGGGUAUUUUGUCUCCUUCUUCGGGUAUUUUGUCUUCUGCUUCAUCAUCUUCUCCUUUGAGAAAGCGAAAGAGAAAUACUCCUACUCUUUCUCCGUUUGCGGUCUUGACACUUCCGAGGACAACUUUCUUCACGGCAGUGGGCACUUCUAUCUUCAUUUUUCACGACGGAGUCAACAAAAUACUUACGUUCAAGAACUCCGGCAACGGCGAUUGGAAGCUCGCUCCACGGAUGAAGCAUCCUAGAAAAUACCCUCACAUCAUUGUCGUGGAUGGUAAGUUAUAUGUUAUAGGUGGUUUAAAAUAUCCUAUAGGUGGUUUAAAAUAUCCAUUACUUGCCUUUAUAGAGGUUUUUGACCCUGAUAUUGGAACUUGGGAAUCCUUGCCUAAUCCUCCAUUUAUGAAUCCACUCUAUCAACCUAGGGAGAUGGUGAUCGCCCUUCUUAAAAACAGAUACAUUCUUGUUACCUCCUACACGGAUUCUCUUUUUUACAUUUACCAAAUCUUUAGCCGCAUUUGGUCUCCUGCUCCGCCUGUGCCCAACCUAUCUAAAGUGGAUUUUCAUUUGGCACCCCAUAAGAUUAAAUCUGUUAGUGUUGAUGACAUGAUGUAUAGGAUUUCCUUUGACCACGUUUAUUAUCCCAGCAAGCAUUUGGUUAUUCAGGCUUUUAAAUUAUCUCUAGAUCAGUGGUUUGAGGGUUGCCUGAAUGUUGGAAGUGAAAUUUUUGGGGAAUGUAAUGAAGUUCUAGAGGAUGAAUAUCCUUGCUGCGGCCUUAUCCAUUUAGCAGAUCAGAAAUUCUGCCUACUUCUUCAAUCUUCCUACACAGAGGAUGGCAACGGCAAUGGCGAUUUUGAUAGGAGGAGAAGCACCAAUUUCAAACGUCAUUCUGCAUCUUCUUCUUACUUGUACUCUGUGGUUCUUGAAGUUUCACCUAUAUUAGACAAGCCCAUGGAUCUCGAGGGUUUCAUGGGGUUGAAUAUUGUUGUUCUGUCCACUGAAAAAUAUCGCUUGGUUCGUCCAUUAGUAAUUCAAGAUGCAAUGUUGGUGGAUAUUACAUUUCAUCCAUCAAAUAUGCUGGCCUUGAGGUGCAAUGAGUCAUUGCUAAAAGAAUUUGGGAUGGCCCGACCCUCUAAGGCGGAGUGUGACGAACUCCUACGGCAGCAUGCUAAACGAAUUAUGAAUUUGGGAUGACCCAACUCUCUAAGCAGUAAGGAUUGUGGCAUGUGCUCCUAGGCUUUGAUUAUUUGUUUUCUACAUGUGAGAGUUGUAGAGUGUAGAGCUCAUAAUGUUCGAAUACACCUACUAAAGCAGAAAUCUCUCUCCCUCUCAACAAAGAAGCCUUCUGUCCAAGCUGGUUGAGAUAAAAUAAUGGUCAUGGACAAACAUUUUGUAACUAAAGAAGUAUGAUGACUCAUCAAUGAGCAAAAAAUCUUAUGCACUAGGCUUGCAUUGGCCUUUGCACAGAUACUGGAAGAUAUGCAUGAUCAGGUCUCAUGCUGUAUGUUUCUCAUCAAGGGCAUUGUUAUCUAUGAAUGUUGAUUGUGGGUAAGCAUUAAGGAUUGAAGAAGUUGCUAUUUACUUGAUCUUUGUUUAAUUGGUCUCAGGACUUGGGUUUUAGUGAUCUCACUCUAUUUGUAGAUUUCACAGAUUCUGUCUUUAUGAUUGUAGAUCUCAUACAUCCUUUAUCUCCUAUUAAAGGAAAAAAGUUGUGUACAGAUAUAACUAUUAUUUUGAUAAAAAUCUUUGGAUUGUUAUGUUAUCAAAUGACAGAAGGUUAUGUUGAUACAUUCAGGAGUAGAAUGAGAAUCUAUUUAAGCUUAAUUGUCAGAUGUCUUUUGAGUUGUAAAAUUUUGUUCGUCAGUUGUUUUCUUGUUUUUAAGUUUUUCAAUAUUUUGGUCAUAAUCAUUCUAAGUGAUGGAAAUUAUAGACCAUGUGGAAGGAGAAGAAAAAAGGAUGGAGGACAUGUAGUUGAUGAGGUGCUUUAGAGCAUGUGUUGAUUAGUUUACAAUAUCUGGUUUUAUUGCAAGAUGUGAAUUGCAAAAGGGCAUUUACUUGGGGGUUAGUUGUGAUAGUUGGGAGAAGGCUUUUCUGUGUUGUGUGAAGGAACAAAACAUAAUAUAAUUGUUGCUUUGAUGGUGGUGGGACCCAAAAUUGUGGUAUUGCUUUAUAAUUUUGAUGCAACAUAUAGCAGCUUCAUUUAUAUUCAAACACUCAACACGAUUUGAAACAUUUUUUUUUUUUCCAGAAAUGUACUUGUUUUCUGGUUGCUCACAAUUACUGAUAUAUUCAAACAAUCAAAAGUAGUGCACUCAAAAUUUUGCUUUUUUGC